AGGAGUGACUGAUACACAAUAAGAUCAGUAGUAUUUUUGGACUUGCGCCACACCCUUUCAGAAGCUCUAAGCUUAGAACGGUGUUCAUGUAGAACAUAAGAUAACCAAGGGGCAGAAGGGUGUUACGGGCUGGCCUGGAAGAUAAGGGGCAAACAGUGUCUAAACUAGAUGUAAGAGUGGAGCAGAAAGUAUCAGUAGCACUGUUUGCAUCAAAAGAUGCUAACAGUUUAGGGGAAGGAAGUGAAGAUGAAACCACAUCUGAUAGCCGGGAGGGUUACGCUGAAAGAUGACAUGUGGAAGUGUUUGUGUUGUGUCAGGGACCAUGUUGAGGUUAAGAGUGAGGAGGAAGUGAUCCGAGGUGUGCAGUGGAGUAACCAGAACAUGAUCAGUGAAGCAGCGUUGUGUGUAAAUAAGCUCCAGUUGGUUGCCUGAUUUGUGAGUAUCAGUAGCUGACACUCGGUUGAGAUCGAAAGAGAUACUGAGAUUUCAAUCGAUGUCUUGGAGUCUGCCGUUACCUUACACGACCCACGGCUUCUGAGCAGAAUCAAACGAGCUGAAAGCAUCCAGACAUCAGCGUCUCAAUCUCUACAGCUACAGACAACACAGACUGUCACACAGGAUUCAUAAACACAGCUGCAUGCUAAAUAAUAAUAAUGCUGAAAGUGUCUAAUAUGACUGUGUGCUGAGGAAACACAUCACAAUGACUGAUGCAUAUCUCAGUAAGUGAUGACCGUAUCACACUACCUCUGUAAUACACACCUUAGAUGAGGAUAGUAGUAUUGGUGGACUCAAAUCGAUGGCUUAAUAGCAACAAUAACGUGAUUAAAUCUAUGAUACAUAUUCUCCUUUAUCUCAAAACAGCGGGUUUCAAGAACACUACGAUCUAAUCACUUAAUAUUGUGAUUUAAACCUAAGAAAUAAAGCUUGGAAAUUAAAUGUGACUUUACAAGAAAGGGGAAGUUACAGAACUGAAAAUAUAAUUUAAAAAAAUAUAUAUUCUGUUGUGUUGCAUUAAAUGCAAAAUAAUUUCACAACAUUAGCCUCAAGCUUCCUCUGUCUGUCCAGACCAGUUCAGCCACAGGAAACUGAUUCUUGAGACGACGAUAAUUCAAUAGAUCUGGUGUCUUCUUGAAAAAAUAUUCUAUAUAUAUAUAUAUAUAUAUAUAUAUAUAUAUAUAUAUAUUUUUUUUUUUUUUUUAAAUGUGGCAUAUUAAUGAUAUUGAUAAUAAUAAUAUAUGGUAACUUUUUGUGUAAUGCAUGAAUGCAUAAUUUUAUUAAUAACUGUAAUUAAAGUUAAAAUGCAAUAUACUUUUUGCAAAAAUCUUGUUAUAUUUUAAAUUGGUUGUGUGUUGUGUUUAUAUUUUUUUCAUACAAUGCAUUAGGCUAUAUGACAUAAUUCAUGCAUUAAAAAUAGUGUUUAUUGCAUUGUAUAUAAAAGCUGCAAGUAUACUUUUUAAUGUUAUUAUCACAUUAAAGUUGUUAUAAAAAGUAAUGGGGAAGAAAAAUAUUUUUCAUAUUGCUCCAGGUCUGUUAAAACUUCUUGCUCGAAUAUUUGACAUGACUUUUUAUCUCAUAGUAGAUUGCAGUAAAGACACACAUUUUGUGAGAAGCAAAGGUUGCAGCAGCACGAAUGAAAACCUCGAUGAAUCCAAGAGAAGCCUUGAGUUCUGCAAUGGUGUGUCCUGUUAUGACCCAGGACUCAGUGAUCAGAGGCGAACAUGUUCAGUUCAGUGAAUCACUGAGCUGCUGACUCUGUGAACCGAUUCACUUCAGUCAUUCGUAAGCAAUGCUGUGAACCAGUUCAUUCAAAUGAUUCAACUCUGAAAAAUGAUUCAUCAUGAUGACAACUUGCAUGUUUCAUCUUGCAACACAGUGAGGCAAUGAAUCUAUGGCAUGUGAAAGUUAACCCAAACAUUAGCACUAGGGCUGAAACAAUUAGAUGGCAUCAUACAAGAGAAGACACAGACUCCUGACGCUGCAGUAAGCAGAGUUUAAAUGAAUAUGUUGAAAUUAAUUUCCUCUCAAUUAGAAAAUAAACACACAACAAAAAUUACAAUGAUGAGAAAACAGCAGUUAAGAAAGCAUGUGAUCAUAGCGAUGUGGAUAAGCUUGCACCAGCUCUGCAAUCGACUCGCUAGUGACGUCACGUUUAUUUAUAUAGCGCUUUAUAUAAUAGAUUGAUAUAAAACACGCAGCUUUACAGUAUUCUUUACAGUGUCAAGUCAGAUUUCCAACUUGAUUAUCUGCUAUAAAGCAGCUGUCUAGUGUGGAGCUAGCUAAUGAUAUAAUCAUUUUAUUAAUGAAUGCAAAAGUAAUUACAUAAAUAAUACUAAAUAAAAAUAAUAGUUUGUUUUGCAUAGAUUAAAGCUUGAUCUAGCUCAGGACUGUUUUGAUAAUCAUAAGGUGAAUGGAGAAUGAGAAGGUUUCUGGCAUCUCAUUUUGUGCGCCCAAUAUUUGUAUUGUAAAAAAGUAUUAACUCAGAAUUUUAACUAAUUGUAAAAGCAGAUUAAUAGAACAAAGCCUACGGAUUAACUGGUGAAAUAAUCAACGAUUAGUCGAUUAAUCGUAGUAUUAAUCUCAAAAUAAAGAUUUGUUGCAUACAUCAUUCAUGGAACAGUUUUCCGAAACAUUUUAGCUGGGUGUUCAUCGAACUAUAACUUUACGCUAUUUCUGAAUGUUUCUUAAUGUUUUUUUU